rnacentral:rRNA from 1 species
UACGGAGGGAGCUAGCGUUGUUCGGAAUCAUUGGGCGUAAAGAGCGUGUAGGCGGCCCGAUAAGUCCGCUGUGAAAGUCCAGGGCUCAACCCUGGAAUGCCGGUGGAUACUGUCGGGCUCGAAUCCGGAAGAGGUGAGUGGAAUUCCUGGUGUAGCGGUGAAAUGCGCAGAUAUCAGGAAGAACACCAAUGGCGAAAGCAGCUUUCUGGGACGGUACUGACGCUGAGACGCGAAAGCGUGGGGAGCGAACAGG